AUACUGUACUAGGGGAGUCGAUUGAUCGGCUGAGAGUGGACUGAAAGUCCAGACCCUUUGAACCUGUACGUUCAUGCGUGCGAAGGAAGAGUACUGAAGCCAAAGA
rnacentral:ncRNA from 2 species